GACGAACGCUGGCGGCAUGCCUAAUACAUGCAAGUCGAACGCUUUAAUUUCACCGGGUGCUUGCACCCAUCGGAGUUAAGGAGUGGCGGACGGGUGAGUAACACGUGGGUAACCUGCCCAUAAGAGGGGGAUAACAUUCGGAAACGGAUGCUAAUACCGCAUAUUUCUAAUCGUCUCCUGACGAAUGGAAGAAAGGUGGCUUCGGCUACCGCUUAUGGAUGGACCCGCGGCGUAUUAGCUAGUUGGUGAGGUAAUGGCUCACCAAGCCGACGAUCUUUAGCUGGUCUGAGAGGAUGAUCAGCCACACUGGGACUGAGACACGGCCCAG
rnacentral:rRNA from 1 species